ACGAACGCUGGCGGCGUGCUUAACACAUGCAAGUCGAACGGUGAAGCGCCUUCCUUUUUGGUGGGUGUGGAUGAGUGGCGAACGGGUGAGUAACACGUGAGUAACCUGCCCCCUUCUUCUGGAUAACCGCAUGAAAGUGUGGCUAAUACGGGAUAUUCUGGGUCUGUCGCAUGAUGGGUCUGGGAAAGAUAUUGUUUCGGUGGGGGAUGGGCUCGCGGCCUAUCAGCUUGUUGGUGGGGUGAUGGCCUACCAAGGCGGUGACGGGUAGCCGGCCUGAGAGGGUGGACGGUCACACUGGGACUGAGACACGGCCCAGACUCCUACGGGAGGCAGCAGUGGGGAAUAUUGCACAAUGGGCGCAGGCCUGAUGCAGCGACGCCGCGUGAGGGAUGGAGGCCUUCGGGUUGUGAACCUCUUUCGCCAGUGAAGCAGGCCUGCCUCGUUUGUGGGUGGGUUGACGGUAGCUGGAGAAGAAGCGCCGGCUAACUACGUG
rnacentral:rRNA from 1 species